rnacentral:rRNA from 1 species
GACGAACGCUGGCGGCAUGCUUAACACAUGCAAGUCGAACGAAGUGGCGAACGGGUGAGUAACGCGUAAUCAAACUGCCCUUCAGAGGGGGACAAAAGUUGGAAACGACUGCAACUACCGCAUACUGAAGGAGGGGAUUGAGUCGGAUUGGAUAGUUGGGGGGGUAACUGCCCACAAAGGAGAUGAUCAGUCGCCGGUCUGAGAGGAUGAACGGCCACAUUGGGACUUGGACACGGCACAGACUCCUACGGGAGGCAGCAGUGGGGAAACUUUCGCAAUGGACGAAAGUCUGACGGAGCAACGCCGCGUGAGUGAUGACGGCCUUCGGGUUGUAAAGCUCUGUUAAUCGGGACGCGGUACCGGAAUAGAAAGCCACGGCUAACUACGUGCCAGCAGCCGCGGUAAUAC